rnacentral:rRNA from 1 species
GACGAACGCUGGCGGCGUGCUUAACACAUGCAAGUCGAACGGAAAGGCCCUGCUUUUGUGGGGUGCUCGAGUGGCGAACGGGUGAGUAACACGUGAGUAACCUGCCCUUGACUUUGGGAUAACUUCAGGAAACUGGGGCUAAUACCGGAUAGGAGCUCCUGCUGCAUGGUGGGGGUUGGAAAGUUUCGGCGGUUGGGGAUGGACUCGCGGCUUAUCAGCUUGUUGGUGGGGUAGUGGCUGACCAAGGCUUUGACGGGUAGCCGGCCUGGGAGGGUGACCGGCCACAUUGGGACUGAGAUACGGCCCAGACUCCUACGGGAGGCAGCAGUGGGGAAUAUUGCACAAUGGGCGGAAGCCUGAUGCAGCAACGCCGCGUGCGGGAUGACGGCCUUCGGGUUGUAAACCGCUUUCGCCUGUGACGAAGCGUGAGUGACGGUAAUGGGCAAAGAAGCACCGGCUAACUACGUG